GGACUACACGGGUAUCUAAUCCCGUUCGCUCCCCUAGCUUUCGCGCCUCAGCGUCAGAAGAGGUCCAGCACGUCGCUUUCGCCACCGGCGUUCCUUCCGAUAUCAACGCAUUUCACCGCUCCACCGGAAGUUCCACAUGCCCCUACCUCGCUCAAGACGGCCAGUAUCAAAGGCAAUUUUCCGGUUAAGCCGAAAGAUUUCACCCCUGACUUGGCCACCCGCCUACGCGCCCUUUAAGCCCAGUGAUUCCGAACAACGUUCGCACGGUUCGUCUUACCGCGGCUGCUGGCAC
rnacentral:rRNA from 3 species